GACGAACGCUGGCGGCGUGCCUAAUACAUGCAAGUCGAGCGGACGGAUGGGAGCUUGCUCCCUGAAGUCAGCGGCGGACGGGUGAGUAACACGUGGGCAACCUGCCUGUAAGACUGGGAUAACUCCGGGAAACCGGGGCUAAUACCGGAUAACUCUUUUCCUCACAUGAGGAAAAGCUGAAAGAUGGUUUCGGCUAUCACUUACAGAUGGGCCCGCGGCGCAUUAGCUAGUUGGUGAGGUAACGGCUCACCAAGGCCACGAUGCGUAGCCGACCUGAGAGGGUGAUCGGCCACACUGGGACUGAGACACGGCCCAGACUCCUACGGGAGGCAGCAGUAGGGAAUCUUCCGCAAUGGACGAAAGUCUGACGGAGCAACGCCGCGUGAGUGAUGAAGGUUUUCGGAUCGUAAAACUCUGUUGUCAGGGAAGAACAAGUACCGGAGUAACUGCCGGUACCUUGACGGUACCUGACCAGAAAGCCACGGCUAACUCCGUGCCAGCAGCCGCCGUAAUAC
rnacentral:rRNA from 1 species